CAAGCUCCGCUUUUUCUGAUGAGGGUUGGCUGCAGGCCAGAGACUGUGGUACUUUGCCAGUUGGCUGAGCCUCCUGGUAGAAGAGCCAACCAAACUCUGUGAGACUGGCUGGAGUAAGAUUUAUUUGAAGACAGGGCCUGAAUAGAAGAGCUGUUGGAUGGAGCUGUGUGAAACUCUUCACUUCUGGGGCACAAUUCUCCAAGAUCCAAGAAUAGUCCACUGCCUCCUGCCUUACAAGGAAUUGCUAAAGUCAAGUCUGCCUGGGAGCACUGUGUAUCUGUGGCUCCCCUCUUUAAUAGUCAGAACUGAAUUUAACAGAAAACAGCUGCUGGUCUCUGCAGAUGGCAGUGUCCUGAGAGACUCAAAGGGAAACCGGGAUAUUGGCCUUAGGAACAGAGGACUGGAAGGGACAUCCUGGGUCACCAAGGCCCAUCCCCAGCUACCGCAGGCAACAUCUUAGAAUCCCGUUCCUAAACUUAUCAAGCUCCAUCUUAAAACUAAAGGGUUUGAAAUGUUCCCAAUUCCAUGUUUAGUGAUAUUUUAACUAACUUUUUAAUGGAAAUGUUAUCAACUUGUAUCAAAAUCCUUU